GAUAAACGCUGGCGGCGUGCCUAAUACAUGCAAGUCUAACGGCCUUCGGGCAGUGGCAAACGGGUGAGUAACGCGUUGGAACCUACCUUUAUCUCAGGCAUAACACCUCGAAAGGGGUGCUAAUUCCUGAUAGUCUCUUCGGAGUAAAGCUUUAGCGGAUAAAGAGGGUCCUGCGUCCUUUCAGCUUGUUGGUAAGGUAAUGGCUUACCAAGGCAAUGACGGGUAGCUGGGCUGAGAGGAUGAUCAGCCACAGUGGAACUGAGACACGGUCCACACUCCUACGGGAGGCAGCAGUAAGGAAUUUUGCACAAUGGGCGAAAGCCUGAUGCAGCAACGCCGCGUGAAGGAUGAAGAUCUUAGGAUUGUAAACUUCUUUUAUAAGGGAUGAAGUCUGACAGUACCUUAUGAAUAAGCUCCGGCUAAAUACGUGCCAGCCGCCGCGGUAA
rnacentral:rRNA from 1 species